rnacentral:rRNA from 1 species
GUCCGCCUGCCCUGUGACUAUAUGUUUAACGGCCGCGGUAUUUUGACCGUGCGAAGGUAGCGCAAUCACUUGUCUUUUAAAUGGAGACCUGUAUGAAUGGCAUAACGAGGGCUUAGCUGUCUCCUCUUUCUAGUCAAUGAAAUUGAUCUUCCCGUGCAGAAGCGGGAAUUACACCAUAAGACGAGAAGACCCUAUGGAGCUUUAGACACUAAAGUAGCUCAUGUUAAGUACCCCUCCUCACAGGGAAUUAAACAAGAUGGGCCCUACCCUAAUGUCUUUGGUUGGGGCGACCGCGGGGAAUACAAAACCCCCACGUGGAAUAGGAGCACCCUGCUCCUUUAACUCAGAGCCACAGCUCUAAGUAACAGAAUUUCUGACCGAUACAGAUCCGGCAAUGCCGAUCAACGGACCGAGUUACCCUAGGGAUAACAGCGCAAUCCCCUUUUAGAGCCCAUAUCGACAAGGGGGUUUACGACCUCGAUGUUGGAUCAGGACAUCCUAAUGGUGCAGCCGCUAUUAAGGGUUCGUUUGUUCAACGAUUAAAGUCCUACGUGAUCUG